AGUUCUUCACAGAGUCAAGUGGAGCAACUCUUCUCAGCUCUACUAUGGAGGGAAACUCUUCUUAUGUUGAAGCAUCUGCCAUAUCCUUCCAAAGCAAUGGCUCUGAUUACAUACAGAUUAAGGCUGUUAACUUUGCAAACGUGACAGUGGAGCUGAAGGUAAAGAUGACUGGAUUGGACUCGAAAGUUUCUG